rnacentral:snRNA from 1 species
AUGUAUUGGCCUUUGGCCCUCCUGUGAAUGCAGUUGCUCACUUAUCUAACAAUGCCCACAACGAUAUUAAAUUUAUUUUUUAUGGGGGAGGGUCCACCACAGUGGCUUGCUACUGGGGCCCUCGGGUGUCGCCUGGGCGUUGCACUACAGCCCAGGCAGGCGCACCCCAA